GAUGAACGCUGACAGAAUGCUUAACACAUGCCAGUCAUUGGCGAAGCUGCGCUUGUGCAGUCUAGCCAAGGCGGACGGGUGAGUAACGCGUAAGGAACUUGCCCUGCAGACAGGGAUAACAGACGGAAACGACUGAUAACACCUGGUAUUGUCAGGCUGGCGCAUGCCGACCUGAUGAAAGGAGACGCUGCAGGAGAGCCUUGCGUCCUAUUAGCUAGUUGGUGGGGUAACGGCCCACCAAGGCGAUGAUAGGUAGCCGGCCUGAGAGGGUGAACGGCCACAAGGGGACUGAGAUACGGCCCUUACUCCUACGGGAGGCAGCAGUGGGGAAUAUUGGACAAUGGGGGCAACCCUGAUCCAGCAAUUCUGUGUGCACGAAGAAGGUUUUCGGAUUGUAAAGUGCUUUCAGCAGGGAAGAAGAAAGUGACGGUACCUGCAGAAGAAGCGACGGCUAAAUACGUG
rnacentral:rRNA from 1 species